UACGGAGUGUGCAAGCGUUACUCGGAAUCACUGGGCAUAAAGCGCGCGUAGGCGGGUAUUCAAGUCGGUUGUGAAAUCCCCCAGCUCAACUGGGGAACUGCAUCCGAUACUGUCUGUCUUGAGGACGAGAGGGGAGAGUGGAACUUCUGGUGGAGCGGUGAAAUGCGCAGAUAUCAGGAGGAACACCGGUGGCGAAGGCGGGUCUCUGGGCCGAUACUGACGCUGAGGAGCGAAAGCGUGGGGAGCGAACAGG
rnacentral:rRNA from 1 species